CCUCUGGAGGGCCACUGGUCCUGCCACAUUGGACUCAGCUGUCAGCUGCAGAAGCCCACAAACACUGGGCAUGUUACCUAAGCAGAACCCUGCAAAGUUCCAAGCCAGGCUCAUGACUCAGUGGGGGAAGCAGUGUUUCUCCCUGAAUCAGCCCCAGCCAGGCCACAUCUGAGGCUUAGCCCAGCCAAGAGUCCAGCCACUGCCCAGCUGCCUGUGGACACACGGGCCCUGUGCUGUCUCAGCUGAGAGGUCCCCAUCUACUGACUCACUCGCACCUGGGGCUUCUUGGCUGGUCAUCUGGAAAGGUGAUGGGUCAUGCAUCUUCCUGACACACUGUGAAGCAGGAAGAAACAGGAACAGUAGCUCUGUGUUACACGUGAGGAGCGAGAAGCACCAACAUGGGAUGUGUGCUCUGUUUCGGAUGAUUGACCAGCAAGCCCCAAGGAUCUGCCUGUCUCCACCACCCCUCGACCUCCUAGCAUUGGAACUGCAGACAGGAGCUGACACACCCAGGCUUUCACAUGGAUGCUAAGAAUGAUCUAACUCAGGUCUCAGGCUUCCACUGCAAGUGUUGCACCCACUGAGCCAUCCAUCCCGCCCCCUCUACUCUUCGGAAGUUUCCAACCCUAAUAUGGUUUCCGACAAUUGUGUCCAACAAUAAAUAUGUUUUGCUUUAGGGAGGAAAUUCCUCAUUCUCUUCCUUGAGACUCUCUGUUGAACAAAGACAGAUCUUUUGUUAAAAGUAUAAGUUACCAGCUGCCAUAUUCUUGAUAUCUGCAUUCUUUGCAGGGUCUUCAUUCUGGAUUUCAUCUUCAAUAUGGAUCCACAGGCUUUAAGAACAUAACGCUUUCUAAAGAGCUCCAGCAAUGGAAACAGCUGUCAGCUCUUCCACCAAAGAUGCUCAAACCAUCACGCUGUCACAUUUAAAUAUAAGAAGCCCCCAAUAUGGAAGAAGACAUCGCUUCUGGUUACCGUCUUGUGUGUGCUAGCUCUCUUUCACUAAUGUCCACUUAAAAAAUAUACAUCAUAACUUGA
rnacentral:lncRNA from 1 species